rnacentral:rRNA from 1 species
GACGAACGCUGGCGGCGUGCCUAAUACAUGCAAGUCGAGCGCAGGAAACUGACGGAACUCUUCGGAGGGAAGGCAGUGGAAUGAGCGGCGGACGGGUGAGUAACACGUAAGGAACCUGCCUCAAGGAUUGGGAUAACUCCGAGAAAUCGGAGCUAAUACCGGAUAGUUCAACGGACCGCAUGGUCCGCUGAUGAAAGGCGCUCCGGCGUCACCUUGAGAUGGCCUUGCGGUGCAUUAGCUAGUUGGUGGGGUAACGGCCCACCAAGGCGACGAAGAAUAGCCGACCUGAGAGGGUGAUCGGCCACACUGGGACUGAGACACGGCCCAGACUCCUACGGGAGGCAGCAGUAGGGAAUCUUCCACAAUGGACGAAAGUCUGAUGGAGCAACGCCGCGUGAGUGAUGAAGGUUUUCGGAUCGUAAAACUCUGUUGUAAGGGAAGAACACGUACGAGAGGGAAUGCUCGUACCUUGACGGUACCUUACGAGAAAGCCACGGCUAACUACGUGCCAGCCGCCGCGGUAA